AACAUCGCGCACCUGCGGGAACCUGCGGAAGGAUCAUUACCGAGUUUACAACUCCCAAACCCCUGUGAACAUACCUAUACGUUGCCUCGGCGGAUCAGCCCGCGCCCCGUAAAAAGGGACGGCCCGCCCGAGGACCCCUAAACUCUGUUUUUAGUGGAACUUCUGAGUAAAACAAACAAAUAAAUCAAAACUUUUAGCAACGGAUCU
rnacentral:misc_RNA from 1 species